CUUCAGUAGUUGGUCUGCCAACUGCUGUGGCUAUCUGUGGUGUUUAGUGCCAAGGAGAAAAAAAAAGAGAAUUUCAAGUCCAUUGAAAGGCUAUCCCUUCCAGGCUCUGCUGAAAAGUGUUUGGCCUGUACCAGGAAAAGCCUCUGUACUGCAAUGGAAUCUGUCAAUGAGAAAGCCUCAACUGGGGAGAUGAAUAUUCAAUACCUGGUGUCCCAUGGACCAGUGGAGCUCAGACGAGGCUGUAGCAGUAAGAAGUGUCAUCAGCAUUUGCACAGAGACUUCUUGGUUGUGACCAAUAGUCGGUGUAAGAUAAACUAUAAACUUCAAGAUAAUAUACAUCAUCCCGCUAGCUGCCCUGUGGAUGGGGGAAUGUGUGGUCACUGAUUUUGUAGGCCCCAUUCGGGCCAGGAAAUCCAUUCUCCUGGGAUGGCCCAUGGAGAAUUUUGUGGCCACCUUUCGUUCCUCAGCUCAAAAAAGAGAGUGGUGCAAUUUGCUUCAGAG